rnacentral:lncRNA from 1 species
ACACAUUCAAGAACCUUGGCUCCUGUCAGCCAUUUGGUCAUAAAGACAGAAUUCCAGUUUUCACCCUGUUGCCAUAACACAACACUGACCAAAAGUAACUUAGGGGAGGAGACAGUUGAUUUGGCUUCCACUUCUGGGUCACUUCAGUCCAUAACUGAAGGACAUCAGGGCAAGAACUCAGGACCUGAAGCCGAAACCACAGAGGACUGCUGCUCACUGGCUCAUGCUCGGCUUUCAUGUACAGCCCAGGCCCCUGUGCCUAGGAAUGGUGCCAUUGACAGUGGACUGAGCCCCCUCACACAAUCAACAACCAAAUGGUGUGUACUAGAUAUGGCCAAGGGUCACCGUGCUCAGCGCCAUCCCUCAGUUGACAUUCCCUCUCCUCAGGUUCAUAUUGUCAGGUGAAGAUGCAAACCUCCCAGCUGCCUUCUCUCACUACCUGCCACCCCGCCUCCCUACGUGAUGGACUUGUAACCUUCUGGAAUGGAGAGCCAAAUAAACCAUGCCUUCUACAUGCCACCUUGAACAGGGUGCUUUACUACAGCAACAGCACAGAAACUACAGCAGUGAUGAUAUUAGCCUUAUUUCUACUUUAACAUUCGACUUAAAAGCAUUCUUUGGACUAGGUAUGAUUAGACGUGUAUACAAUCCCAACAUUCGAGAUGCUGAAGCAGAACUGAGUCUCAGGUCCUCCCGGACCACACAUCGUGAGUUGUCUGGGCUGCAUAUUGAGACCUCGUCACGAAAAGUAACUUUUGAGUUGCUGAUGGUGCUCAGAAUUCAUGUCGUUUUUCCGAAUCCCAACUAAAAUUUGAAAUGAGUGCAGCCUCUGUGCUGCAGACUCACCGGCUGGAACGCAUUUUACUGAAAUAUUCGUGCAAGCGUGGGAAAGGAGAUACAGGAGAAAGGCCACCACUGUACUGCUUAAACUGAAAACUGUCUUGUCCACCCUGCGGAGGACAUAUGGGCAGCAGUGGCUUCUGCUGUAGGAAGCCCCACUGGGACUGAGCUGAGGUGGCAGCACAGAAAGAGAUCCUCUAUGGGGGUGUGACAGAGCUUAAAUAAAGAUAUGCUCAUUUAUCCGGUCUGUCUGUCAGUCAGUCCAUCUGCCUGUGGAGUUUUCCCUGAUGCAGUAAAAGUUGACAACCGUAUGCCUGAAUGGUGACGAACAGUGACUUCUGGUCCAGUCUUGUUCUAUAAAAGGGUAAGAGGCUAGAAAAGGGGUAUUAGAACCUCAAGCUUGGCUCCAGUCUAGGACUUGGUCAGGCGUCAUGAUCCCUGGAGCCCCUGAAAUUGCUUAAUGUCUUGCCUGCUGUGAGUCACAAUGACAUCAGCUGGCCAGGCCAUCUGAGUUCGCUGACACAAUAGUGGCAAGACCGUUGUUGGUGGUAACCAAUUGC